rnacentral:pre_miRNA from 1 species
UACAAUAUUUUGACUCUUCGUCUUAUUUGAAAUUUUUUUACGAUUAAUAUUUUUAUUUUUACUAGAUGAUAAAACAUGAAUAGUACAUUAUGCGUGACUAAAUUUUUAAGUUUUUUUACAAAAUUUUCAAAUAAGACGAAUGGUCAAACGUUGGACACGGAAA